CCCUCCUCCACCGUUCCAUUAAUGAUUAAUGGAAACUCUUGUCAAGCAUUACUAGAUAGUGGCUCAGAAGUAACUAUCAUUUUUGAGAGCUGGUACACCAAGCACCUGUCUGGUGUUCCCAUCCACCCCGUUUCUGGAAUGUCCGUCUGGGGUCUCAGCACAGACAGUUUCCCCUACUGGGGAUAUGUUGAAAUUGUCCUGCAGUUCCCGGAAAAGAUUACAGGUCUACUAGCAGUGGUCAGUGUCUGGGCCUCGACGGACACUUGAAGACAGUUGAGGACUGAGCCCCACGUGAUUGAUAAACGGGCGUUACAGCAGCAGCAUCCUGCCCCACAAAGAAAGAAGUACUCAAGAAAAAUGGGAAUCGCACAGGACUUAUUAAAACAGCCAUUUUUAUGAUAGGCAAAACACUUAGGAGAAUUAAACAUAUACAUUCUCAUUUUAAUAAAAUCCUUAUUUAAUGACAACAUUAAUCCUGUG
ensembl:lncRNA